ensembl:lincRNA Gm20497 predicted gene 20497
AAACUACUUUCAAGCUACAGCAAGCCUUGCAAACAGUCCCAGGAUGAGAUCAUGCCCUGAAUGAGGACGGCAGCUGAUACUGAGACAGCACCCUGAGCAAGUUCUCACCACGGGAGAGAGAGAAGUCAACAGCUCUCCUGAACUCCCCAGCAGAAUCAGGGCUGGGACUAUAAUCACGAGGCCACUGGCCUGACCAACCCCGCCUCCACUGACACUGCAUCCCAGCUCCUGCUUUAUUUCUUUUUUCUCUAAAAUCUCAAAGUUUCCAUCAGUCACUUAAAGGCCAUUGUUUAUUCUUCCCAGUUGUAGCCACAAACUGGGAUUAUAACCAUGUGCUUCAAAUGAGAUGAGAAAAAAGGAUAGGAUAACUAAGAGUCACAGGGAUAAAGCAACGCCAUGGUGCUGCCCACUGACAGAGAGAAAUGGAUGUGUGAAGAUCAAUUGGAGGCUCCAUUCGGGCCAGAAGCUCCUAAUCAUGGCCAAGCCUCACUUGCCAAGAGAUGAGAAGACUUUCCCCUGACCACACCUCCUUUGCCCUCAGGUGGGAAGUGAGAUGUGCCAGGGGAAGAAUCCACCCAUUUCCCAGGACUUUCCUGACUUCCUCUCAGCCACGAGAACAUUUGACCAGAAGGAAUAGGGAAAAGGAGGAAGCACUCUUGGAGAGGAGAAGGA